rnacentral:rRNA from 1 species
UACGUAGGGUGCGAGCGUUAAUCGGAAUUACUGGGCGUAAAGCGUGCGCAGGCGGUUCGUGAUGUCUGAUGUGAAAGCCCCGGGCUCAACCUGGGAAUUGCAUUGGAAACUAGCGGGCUGGAGUGUGGCAGAGGGGGGUGGAAUUCCACGUGUAGCAGUGAAAUGCGUAGAUAUGCGGAGGAACACCGAUGGCGAAGGCAAUCCCCUGGGCCUGCACUGACGCUCAUGCACGAAAGCGUGGGGAGCAAACAGG